UACGAAGGGGGCUAGCGUUGCUCGGAAUCACUGGGCGUAAAGCGCACGUAGGCCGAUUGUUAAGUCAGGGGUGAAAUCCUGGAGCUCAACUCCAGAACUGCCCUUGAUACUGACGGUCUCGAGUCCGGGAGAGGUGAGUGGAAUUCCUAGUGUAGAGGUGAAAUUCGUAGAUAUUAGGAAGAACACCAGUGGCGAAGGCGGCUCACUGGUCCGGUACUGACGCUGAGGUGCGAAAGCGUGGGGAGCAAACAGG
rnacentral:rRNA from 1 species